AAGAUUAAUGAGUCUAGUUUCAAAUGGAAUAAACGAGAACAUAUUUUUAAUUCUGUACAAUGAUAAAUUUGAUUCGUAAUGAAGAGUGGUCAGAUUAGUCAAACAGUGAAACAUGGGAAACUUUAAGAAAAAUCUGGUAUUGAUUGGCUAAACCAAAAAUUCUGAAAAUUUUAUGGAUAAAAGAUAUAUGAGUCUAUUUUCAGGUAAAAUUAACGGCACUUGAUUUGGAGUUUCGUAGCUCCAGUUAUAAAUGAUUUAGUGACCGUUGUUCAGGAAGACAGCUUGCAGUGAGAUUAUGAUUAUGUGGUAAACAUUGACAAAAAUUUGUUAAUGAGUUGCUUAUUGAUUUCUUAUAAACUUACUAUGAUCUGUAGGUGUGGUUAGCCGAAUAUUGUAAGGGGUUAAUACGUAGUUCGUAUUUGAAUAGUUAGAUUAAUGUGUUAGUAAUCCAAUUGUAGGCAGUUCGUGUGUGGAUCUCGUCAGCAUAUCGUCGCAAACAGGUGUGUAACUAACACCCUCUUUCUUAGUCUGGAUCGGCAAAAGUCGAAAAGCCGAAAUGCUAAAAACUGGUAUUUUGUAGAUUUGCGAGUGUGCGAAUGCUCGUGAGGUAAAUUGAUUAAUGUUUUUGGUAAGCUGCAAAAUUUGGACUGCAAAGUGCAUGAUUUCUGUGCCCUCGAUAUUUUUGGGCUUAAUGGGCCAAAAUGAGAAUGAUGGGCCAACGGACCCAAUUCGGUAAGAACCCUCGGUACGUGAUUCUGUUAGUACGUGAAAAGUAGGAAUAUGCAUGAAAAACCCUAAAAUAGAUAAAUUACUGAAAUACCUUUAAAAGUGGAAAAUUUACAGUUUUACCCCUAGUAGAUAAAUUACCGAAAUACCCCUAGGGUUAAAUUGACCUAAAUGCAUGUUUGACUGUUGUUAUUUACUGCAUGCCAUGUUGUUAUUAUCUGAUGCAUGGGAUUGGGAUAUUGACGGAGGAAGUACUAAAAGUGGCUUGUCCACGUACUGGAGGCUUUGCCUCAAUUUACUGUUAACUGAGCAGCAAGGCUGCAACUGUGGAGUGUUGGGUUGGGUGGGUUGAGCUAUUCCCCACAUGGAGUGCAGGGCUGGUACGGGUGGAGUGUAGUGGCUGGUGGGUUGAGUAGUCUCCCCAAAUGGGCUUGCAUAUGUUAUUGAUGUUGCAUGUAUUUUGAAAUGGGCCUAUGGGCCAUACUGUUAUCUGAAUAAGGGGCUAAGGCCCAGUUUAUUGUAAUCUGAAAAGGGCUUUGGUCUAGUACCACUGUUACCUGAAUGGGCUUAGGCCCAAUAGGCUUGAGCUGACUUGGCUUUGAAUGGGUUUUCCUUACACACUGAGUUUCUCCAAACUCACCCCUUUUAUUUUCAUCCAUGCAGGAAAUCCCCAACCAUAGUGGGCUUGGAGCUGUGAGGGAAUUCGGAGUGGCCACCCGUUCUGAAAGUUUGAUUUUCUUCUGGUGAACUGGACAUCAUUUUAUUUACGUUUGAAGUUUUGGGUUUUUAAAUGUAAUAAGGCCACUUAAUUAUUUCUGAUGGUUUUAAUAUGUAUUACUAAGAUAGGUAUUACUUAUUUUAACUGUUGAAAUUGGAUAGCUUUAGGGCGCAUUUUCAAAAACAACAAUUGAUUUCAAAAUAACACGACAACAAGCAAAACUUCCGCAAUGAAAGUAUUUUCCAAAAUUAAUCACUUUUCCUAAAAAUGACUUAAUCAAAUCAGUUUCCUAGAAAUAUCCAUGACGUUAUGGUGUGGCAAUGGCGGUAUGCAUGUCUAGGAUUGGAUCCGAAGGGAGCUUGGUACUUAAGCAGUCCGAUGGACUUACCACCUCUUUUCCGGUUUCCUACCUGGUGCACAGCUUCCAUUCACUUUAACUUAUAAUGAAAUUAUCUUUUAAAACACUAAGUAAGUUUUUCUGGAUCAACAAUAUAAAAUGUUUUGGACGCUUCGAUAUGGCAUGUCAAAUCCGGUCAUAACGUCUGGGCCGGGUUUGGGGUGAUACAUUUAGUGGUAUCAGAGCCUAGGUUGCAACAACUCGGCUGUAGAAUGGGUUUACAAAAACAAAGAUUUUCAAAAACAAAAAUUUUAUAAAGAUUGCGAAAAACUCGAUUUUCAAAAUUUAGAUCUUUUGAAGGUGGCGCCCGAAUCUUCGGCUCAAGUCUGUAAGUAUUCUGAAUUUUUCUAAAUAUUUUCUGAAUUAUCUAUCUGUACUAAAAUCCUGCUAGGAUACUCUAGAUAGGAUGAUACUGAAACAUAGAAAAAUUUGAUAAGAGACUGAAACUAUAGCUAGACUUCGAUUCUGCGAAAACAAACUCUGAAUUACUGUCUGAUUCAUAAAACAUCCAUAAUAAACACUGGAAUAUUGAAUUAAUACAUAAAAAUUCAUAAUCGGAUAAUACGAUAUGAGUACAAGAGUCACUCGUGGAAGAGGCCGUGGACGGGGCCGAGGAAAUGCUCGAGCGAGAUCUUUAUUUUUGGGACAUAUGCCGGCGGUGGAUGGACCGAUACCACCGGCAACAGAGGUAGAGUCUCAUGACCGCGGUGUCGAGGAUGAUGCCCUGUCACAGGCAAUACUUCGUGUUCUGGAAAGGGUUGCCAGGGUAAGUACGGGCAAUGGAGUUCGGGGAUCUAUUUCUGAACGACUUCGGGCUAACGGAGCGGAGAUCUUUAGGGGCGUGUCUGGUAUAGCCCCGAAUGUGGCGGAAUAUUGGUUGGAGGCCACAGAACGGAUUAUGGACAACUUGGACUGCUUUGAGGAGAUUGUGAGUGGGGUAUCUGUACUAAGUCCUUUGGGUCACUCGGUUAGGGUAGACAAACUGUAUAGGGAUGUACCCUUAGAAACUCAAGGUAGGAUUUUCCCUGGAGAUCUGAUGGAGUUACCAUUCGGAGAGUUUGAUCUCAUUUUGGGAAUGGACUAGCUUGUUAAGCAUAAGGCGUUCCUGGAUUGUGCUGCUAAACGAAUGGUGUUAAGGACCACAAAGGAUGAUGAGGUUAUGGUGAUAGGUGAGCGAAGGGAUUAUUUGUCCAAUAUGGUGUCGGCAUUAAGAGCCGAGAAGUGGAUUUGGAAAGGUUGUGAGGCUUAUUUGGCAUUUGUAAGUUAGUCGGAAGAGGAGGGAUUGACAGUGGAUAAGGUUAGGAUCGUAAAAGAGUUCUAAGAUGUUUUUCUGGAAGAGCUUCCAGGAUUGCCUCCGAACCGAGAAGUUGAGUUUGGAAUAGAUUUGUUGCCAGGAACGGCGCCUGUGUCCAUCGCACCGUAUAGGAUGGCACUGAAGGAGUUAGUGGAGUUAAAGGCUCAAAUUCAAGAGUUGUUGGAUAGGGGCUUCAUUAGGCUAAGUGUGUCUCCAUGGGGAGCACCGGUGCUAUUCGUGAAAAAGAAGGAUGGUACGAUGCGGAUGUACAUUGAUUAUCGCCAGUUGAACAAACUUGCGAUUAAAAAUAAGUAUCCACUGCCAAGGAUUGACGAUCUGUUUGACCAGCUUAGAGGGGCUUCUGUAUUUUCUAAGAUCGACCUCUAUUUGGAUAUCAUCAGUUAAGGGUCAAGGAGGCGAAUAUCCAUAAGACGACAUUUAGGACUCGGUAUGGUCAUUACGAGUUUUUGGUUAUGCCAUUUGGACUGACGAAUGCUCCUGCAACAUUUAUGGAUCUGAUGAAUCGGGUAUUCCAACCAUUAUUGGAUCGAUUCGUAGUCGUCUUUAUUGACGAUAUCCUGGUAUAUUCUGAAAAUGAAGCGAAACAUGAUGAGCAUCUCUGUAUAGUGCUGCAAGUGUUAAGGAAGAAGAAACUCUUUGCGAAGUUCAGCAAGUGUGAAUUUUGGUUGAGGGAGGUAACCUUCUUAGGACAUGUGGUCUCUGCCGAAGGGAUUAAGAUAGACCCUCGAAAGAUUGAAGCAAUUUUGGAGUGGAAGCCACUUAGGACGGUGUCGGAAAUUCGAAGUUUCCUAGGGUUGGCAAGAUACCACAGAAGGUUUGUGGAAGGUUUUUUUGUUAUGGCAGCACCCCUGACAAAACUAAUAAGGAAAGGAGAACCGUUUGUAUGGACUGAGAAGCAGCAGGAAGCUUUUGAGAAGUUGAAGAAAGUUCUGACUGAAGCACCUGUGUUGAUUCAACCGGAGUCUGGGAAGGAUUUUACUGUGUACAGUGACGCAUCACAUGUGGGUUUGGGCUCUGUGUUAAUGCAGGAGGGUAAGGUGGUUGCAUAUGCAUCACGAUAGCUUAAACCGCACGAAGGGAACUAUCUUACUCAUGAUUUGGAGUUGGCGGCAAUGAUAUUUGCACUUAAGAUUUGGAGACAUUACUUGUACGGGGAGAGGUGUAUUAUAUACACAGACCACAAGGGUCUUAAGUAUUUGUUGACUCAGAAGGAGCUGAACCUUAGGCAAAGGAGAUGGAUUGAGUUGCUUAAGGAUUAUGACUAAUCGAUCGAGUAUCACCAGGCAAGGCUAAUGUGGUAGUCGAUGCUCUAAGUUGUAGAACUGUAUCUGAUCUGAGAAUAAUGUUUGCUCGUCUGAGUCUGUAUGAUGAUAGAAGUCUGUUGGCUGAGUUGCAAGUGAGGCCAACCUGGGUGGAUCAGAUUAAGGAAAAGCAGUUGAACGAUGAGUCUUUGGUCGCUCAUUUUCAACAAGUUAAGGAAGGGAAAACUUUUGAGUUUGGGUUAAAUGGCGAAGGAGUUCUGUGUUUCCGAGGAAGAAUUUGUGUUUCGAAGGACUCUGAUUUGAGGCAGACAAUAUUGAAAGAAGCUCAUGGAGGACUUUGUGCCAUGCACCUUGGAGGGAACAAGUUGUAUCACGACUUACGAGAAUUGUACUGGUGGCUUGGACUUAAACGAGAAGUAACGGAGUUUGUAGGGAAAUGUCUGACAUGCCAGCAAGUGAAAGCUGAGCAUCAAUUACCCUCUGGAUUGUUACAGUCAGUGAAGAUACCACUUUGGAAGUGGGAGAGGGUAGCCAUGGACUUUGUGAGUGGACUGUCUUUGACACCAUCAAAGAAAAACUCGGUGUAGGUGAUUGUGGAUAGGUUGACCAAAUCAGCCCAUUUCAUACCUGUACGUACUGACUUUUCACUUCAAAAGUUAGCCAAGCUGUAUGUGGCGGAGAUUGUACGACUUCAUGGAGUCCCAGUUUCGAUUGUCUCUAACCGGGAUCCCAGAUUCACAUCUCGGUUUUGGCAAAAGUUGCAUGAGGCGUUGGGGACGCGAUUGAACUUUAGUACGGCUUUCCAUCCCUAAACUGAUGGUCAGUCAGAGAGGGUUAUUCAGAUUCUGGAGGACAUGUUGAGGGGAUGCGUGAUUGACUUUCGAGGUAGUUGGGAGGAUUACUUGCCGUUGGCAGAAUUUACGUACAAUAACAGUUACCAGGUGAGUAUUCGAAUGGCACCGUAUGAAGCACUGUAUGGACGAAUGUGUCGUACACCUAGUUGUUGGACUGAACUAGGAGAGCGAAAAAUUCUUGGACCAUAGUUGGUAGCUGAUACUGAGGAUAAGGUCAGAAUAAUUAGGGACCGAUUAAAAGAAGCAUUUGAUAGGCAAAAGUCGUAUGCAGAUUUGAAGCGUAAGGAGAUUGAGUACUUAGUAAGUGAUAUGGUCUUCUUAAAGGUUUCUCCUUGGAAGAAGAUGUUAAGGUUCGGUAAGAAGGGCAAGUUGAGUCCGCGGUUCAUUGGGCCUUAUCGGGUUUUGAAGCGAGUAGGCCCAGUAGCUUAUCAGUUGGAAUUGCCUCUAGAGUUAGACAGGAUUCACGAUGUUUUUCACGUCUCCAUGUUAAGGCGUUAUUGUGCUGACCCUGCUCAUGUCCUGCCAGUUGCAGAAAUUGAAGUUCAGACUGAUUUGACCUUUGAGGAGGAGCUUAUGCAAAUAUUGGCUCGAGAUGUUAAGGUUCUCAGAAGGAAAUCUGUCCCGUUAGUGAAAGUACUUUGGCGUAAUCAUGGAAGGGAAGAAGCUACUUGGGAAUCAGAAGAGACUAUGCGUCAACAAUACCCUCAACUAGUUGGAUCAGGUAAAUUUCGAGGACGAAAUUUCUUUAAGGAGGGUAGAGUUGUAACGCCCCAACUUUCGGGAAUUCUGUGAAUGUUGGCAUAGGUUUAAUUAUGUUAGUGGGCCUUUAGAAGGCCCAAGCUUAAGAUAGAACCCGGCAAUUUUAGUUAAUUUUUGUUCCAUAAGAAAAAAGGGGUGAAAUUAUGAAAUAGGACCUAUGCGAAAAUGUUUGAAAAUGCUAUAGGCUAAAUUGAAGUGGCCAAAUAAAUAGGAGUGCAAAAUAGGAGGAUUUGCACGACAAACCUCCCAUUUUACAUGAAGUGGCCAGCCAUCAUGUUGUUGUAGACAAAAUGUGCACUUGAUAUCCAUAAUUUAUGGUACAAAUUGAUACAAAUUGAUAAUGGGUUAGGUAAAUGUUCCAUGAUAAUGGGUUAGGUAAAUGUUUCAUGAUAAUGGGUUAGGUAAAUGUUCCAUGAUAAUGGGUUAGGUAAAUGUUCCAUGAUGGGAAUUUCAUGUCUUUUGUAUUAAAGAAUUAAAUGGAUGAAAUAUGAAAUUUUAUUAAAACAAAAAGGGGUGAAAAGAACAAAGUUUUGUCCAUCUUUGUUCAUCAUAGCCUAAAGUUAGAGAAGAGAAAGGAGAGGAGAAAGCUCUUGAAUGUUCGGUCACUUGGGGAAGAAAAUUGAAGGUAAGUUCAUGGUAGUUUGCUUCUAUCUUGAUGUUCAUGAGUUCUUCUUGAUUCUACCUUAACUCUUGAAGCAUAUUUUGGUUUUUAGUUGUGUUGUGAGCAUUUAGUCAUGAAUUAAAAUGAAGGAAAUGGUUGUUGUUUCAUGUUCUUUUGAUGAAAAAUGGAAGAUAGGUGAAGUUAAGCCAAACAAAUGAGCAUGCAUGUGCCUUAGAUGCUAAGGGGAAAACUCUGCUAACAUGUUGUGAUUUAAAAUGAUGAAAUGGAGAUUAUACUUAAGUAAAAUCAUAGAUAUGUGAUGAUUGAUUGGUGAUAUACAUGUUUAAAUAACAAGCAUGCAAGUUAGGUGUGAAAGAGUGAUUUGGUAAUAAAUCUGCUUGGGACAGCAGCAGUAACGUGACUUUGGAAAAUCACCAUAAAUUGUGGGAGAUGAGUUAGAAGCUGCAUAAAUUAUGUAAUUAAAGAUUAAUGAGUCUAGUUUCAAAUGGAAUAAACAAGAACAUAUUUUUAAUUCUAUACAAUGAUAAAUUUGAUUCGUAAUGAAGAGUGGUCAGAUUAGUCAAACAGUGAAACAUGUGAAACUUUAAGAAAAAUCUGGUAUUGAUUGGCUAAACCAAAAAUUCUGAAAAUUUUAUGGAUAAAAGAUAUAUGAGUCUAUUUUCAGGUAAAAUUAACGGCACUUGAUUUGGAGUUUCGUAGCUCCAGUUAUAAAU
rnacentral:lncRNA from 1 species